rnacentral:rRNA from 1 species
GGUACCGGGUGUGAGAGCUGGCCGGUCACUGGGACUGAGACCUGCCAACCCUACGGGUGGCUGCAGUCAAAUCUUCGGCAAUGGACGCAGUCGACGACGACGCCGCGUGCGGGAUGAAGGCCUUCGGGUUGUAAACCGCUGUCAGAGGGGAGGAAAUCCUGUGGGGUUCUCUCCACAGGUUGACCUAUCCUCAGAGGAAGUACGCUAAGUCGUGCCACGCCGCGGUAAGACGAACCGUACAAACGUAUCGGAAUCACUGGGCUUAAGGGUGCGUAGGCGCCUGCAAGUUGGGUGUGAAAGCCCUCGGCUCAACCGAGGAAUUGCGCCCAAAACUGCGGGGCUUGAGGGAGACAGAGGUGAGCGGAACUUAGGUGGACGGUGAAAUGCGUUGAUAUCCUGAGGAACACCUGUAGCGAAAGCGGCUCACUGGGUCUCUUCUGACGCUGAGGCACGAAAGCUAGGGGAGCGAACGGGAUUAGAUACCCCGGUAGUCCUAGCUGUAAACGUUGAGCACUUGGUCGGAGAGUCCUCCAUAGCUUUCCGGUCGCAGCGAAAGUGAUAAGUGCUCCGCCUGGGGAGUAUGGUCGCAAGACUGAAACUCAAAGGAAUUGACGGGGGCUCACACAAGCGGUGGAGGAUGUGGCUUAAUUCGAGGCUACGCGUAGAACCUUAUCCUGGGCUUGACAUGCACGGAUUAACCUCGUGAAAGCGAGGCGACGCCUUCGGGUGGAACGUGCACAGGUGCUGCAUGGCUGUCGUCAGCUCGUGUCGUGAGAUGUCGGGUUAAGUCCCUUAACGAGCGAAACCCUUGUCACUAGUUGCCAGCGGGUAAUGCCGGGGACUCUAGUGAGACUGCCGGUGUUAAACCGGAGGAAGGUGGGGAUGACGUCAAGUCCUCAUGGCCUUUAUGUCCAGGGCUGCACACGUCCUACAAUGGCGCGUACAAAGGGAAGCGAACUCGCGAGAGCAAGCAAAUCCCACAAAGCGCGCCCCAGUUCGGAUUGCAGGCUGCAACUCGCCUGCAUGAAGCCGGAAUCGCUAGUAAUCGCAGGUCAGCAUACUGCGGUGAAUAUGUUCCUGAGCAUUGUACACACCGCCCGUCAAGCCACGAAAGUGGGGAGCAUCCGAAGUCGCCGUGGUAACCCUCAAGGGAGCUAAGCGCCGAAGAU